rnacentral:misc_RNA from 1 species
CAGAGUUGCAAAACUCCCAACCAUUGUGAACCUACCUCACCGUUUGCUUCGGCGGGUGGCCCGGGGGCAACCCAGGCCGUGCCGGCCCCGCUCGCGGGGCCCGGCAAAACCUGUCAGAAGCCCGAAAACUCUGUUAUCAUUGGCCUCUCUGAGUAACUUAUACAAUAAGUCA